rnacentral:lncRNA from 1 species
UAUAUAUUUAGUCUCUUUUUAACCUCCACAAUCAUGUAUUUGAACUAAUGUUUGAAUAAACAAGAACUCAAACUAAGUAUUGCACAAAUAUAGCCUAAAAUGUAGAAAAAAGUAUUGUGAUAAAAUUUGAGUGGCACUUACACUCGAUGCACCUAAGAAAGGAAGAUGGCUAUAGCCUAUUAAGUUUGAAGAUAGAUUUGCUAUUAUCAAGAAUAUUCAUAUAUUCUUGAUACUUUAGGGAUAUCUAUGAUAUUUUUUAAAAUUUUGAUAUACAACUUAUACAUAAUUGUCAUUGAAAAUUCUUAGUAUUUGUUUUGAUUAUUUUAACAUUAAAUAAUGUAUAUUUUAUUUUGUAGAUGUACACAAAAAACAAAGAAUAACACAAUAGAGUUCUU